rnacentral:tRNA from 1 species
GGGUGGCGCAGCGGAAGCGUGCCAGGUUCAUAACCUGGAGGGCGGAGGAUCGAGACCUUCC